rnacentral:lncRNA from 1 species
UUUUUCACUUAAAUAACAAUUUAUUGUUUUAAAAUAUAUUCCAUCUAUAUUACACACAUCUAAGAAAGUGAGUACAGGUGUGUUUAUAGAUCUUUAUAUAUGCUGUCAUAGACUUUGUGAGAUCUAGUGUAAUAUAUGGUGGCUAUAGACAGUAUUUUUUUUAUUUUCUAACGUUUUCAAAUUUUCUCAUGUUUCAAGAUCUCAGUCUUCACAAUGCAUUUUUAUUAUAAUAUGACAGACAUUUCAUUUUGUCUUUUAAUUGUAAGUUUAAAAGCAGGUACAGUUUGAGUUUUACUCAAAAAUAUAAUAAGUUUUCUAACAAUCCUCUACAACAUAGUCCUUAAUAAUUUUAAACGAUUUAUAUAAAUAAAUCAAAAGUAAUUUAUUAAAUACUAAAAGAUUAUUAUUUUGUUUGCAAUUCAUUUUACAGUUAAAAUAAACUAAACCAAAGCAGUAUUACAAAUAAAGAAUAUUUUAAAUGGACAAAAUGCA